CCCAGACUCCUACGGGAGGCAGCAGUGAGGAAUAUUGGUCAAUGGGCGGGAGCCUGAACCAGCCAAGUCGCGUGAGGGAAGACGGUCCUACGGAUUGUAAACCUCUUUUGCCGGGGAGCAACGGGGUCCUUGCGAGGGCCCGAUGAGAGUACCCGGAGAAAAAGCAUCGGCUAACUCCGUGCCAGCAGCCGCGGUAAUACGGAGGAUGCGAGCGUUAUCCGGAUUUAUUGGGUUUAAAGGGUGCGUAGGCGGAGUGUCAAGUCAGCGGUAAAAUUUCGGGGCUCAACCCCGUCGUGCCGUUGAAACUGACGCCCUUGAGUGAGUGAGAAGUAAGCGGAAUGCGUGGUGUAGCGGUGAAAUGCAUAGAUAUCACGAAGAACUCCGAUUGCGAAGGCAGCCUACUAAACUGCCACUGACAUUGAUGCUCGAAAGUGUGGGUAUCAAACAGGAUUAGAUACCCCCGUA
rnacentral:rRNA from 1 species